UGUGUGUGUGUGUGUGUGGCUCAUGGCCAUCCCGGCGCACACGUACUGACCUGACUCUGGGUGAUUCAAAUGUAUAUGAGACCCUUUCUCUGCGGAUGCUGUAGCGCCUCCUGGUGGAUGCAGCUGAUCUGUCAUCAGUACUGUGAUGUGGAGCCCACAGUGCUCAUCUCUAGUGGAGGGCUGUGAUUGGUCGUCUGGCUGACGGCUGGAGUGUGCUUCUAUUGGCUGUCAGCUGCUGGAGGCGUGUCCACAGUUGAUUGGCUCUUCAUCCUCAGGCUGUCUGGUUUCCAUGGAGACGCAGGGGUCUAUUGUGGAGGUCCAGCUCUAUAAUGUGGAAAGGCGGAGAUCAUCACGCUGCUCCAUCUCUACAGUCUCCUGAGCCCUUGCUGGAGGAAUCAUCUGAGUGUUCGGUGUGACUGAAAGAUGUUUAACGUGUGUGUGUGUGUGUGUGUGUGUGUGUGUGUGUGUGUGUGUGUGU